GUAUCAUGCUACACCAGCUUAAGUGUUAUGUGCAUGUAAGUGAGUUAAGAAGUGAACAAGUGAGUUAGAGAGGGAGAUUUGAGUUUUCCCCAUCGAGGCCAAUGAUAGGCUAAGACAGCAGUGCGUUUCAGCAAAUCUCCUCUCCAACCUGAAUAGGUCCAAUAUGAAAGAAAACUUACUAUCUCCAAGAUUCCAACCUAGGAAGAAGAGUCACCACUUGGAGAAGGACAUUCGCAUAUGUUCAAAAAGAAGAAGUAACAAACACCUGGAUCUUGGAAUCAGCUUGCUCUUGUUGAAUUACUUUUUGAAGCCCUUCCUUCGACAUCUGACGCUGGUACACCUGCAGGAUACCAGAU